GAUGAACGCUGGCGGCGUGCCUAAUACAUGCAAGUCGAGCGAACAGAUGAGGAGCUUGCUCCUUUGACGUUAGCGGCGGACGGGUGAGUAACACGUGGGUAACCUACCUAUAAGACUGGGAUAACUUCGGGAAACCGGAGCUAAUACCGGAUAAUAUUUCGAACCGCAUGGUUCGAUAGUGAAAGAUGGUUUUGCUAUCACUUAUAGAUGGACCUGCGCCGUAUUAGCUAGUUGGUAAGGUAACGGCUUACCAAGGCGACGAUACGUAGCCGACCUGAGAGGGUGAUCGGCCACACUGGAACUGAGACACGGUCCAGACUCCUACGGGAGGCAGCAGUAGGGAAUCUUCCGCAAUGGGCGAAAGCCUGACGGAGCAACGCCGCGUGAGUGAUGAAGGUCUUCGGAUCGUAAAACUCUGUUAUUAGGGAAGAGCAAACGUGUAAGUAACUGUGCACGUCUUGACGGUACCUAAUCAGAAAGCCACGGCUAACUACGUG
rnacentral:rRNA from 1 species